rnacentral:rRNA from 1 species
UACGUAGGGACCAAGCGUUGUCCGGAUUUAUUGGGCGUAAAGAGCUCGUAGGCGGCCCUCCACGUCGGAUGUGAAAGCUCAGGGCUCAACCCUGGGAUGCCAUUCGAUACGGGAAGGCUAGAGGUAGGUAGGGGAGACUGGAAUUCCUGGUGUAGCGGUGAAAUGCGCAGAUAUCAGGAGGAACACCGAUGGCGAAGGCAGGUCUCUGGGCCACUACUGACGCUGAGAAGCGAAAGCAUGGGGAGCGAACAGG